rfam:Loxodonta africana unplaced genomic scaffold scaffold_5, whole genome shotgun sequence.
UCACAGGGUUUUUUUAAAUCCAUUCACAUUUAUAUACAGAUUUUUG